rnacentral:sRNA from 1 species
CAUUGGCAAAUACAAGACAAUCUCAACAUUUAAACGU